rnacentral:rRNA from 1 species
UGGGGAAUUUUGGACAAUGGGCGAAAGCCUGAUCCAGCAAUGCCGCGUGUGUGAAGAAGGCCUUCGGGUUGUAAAGCACUUUUGUCCGGAAAGAAAUCCUUGGCUCUAAUACAGUCGGGGGAUGACGGUACCGGAAGAAUAAGCACCGGCUAACUACGUGCCAGCAGCCGCGGUAAUACGUAGGGUGCAAGCGUUAAUCGGAAUUACUGGGCGUAAAGCGUGCGCAGGCGGUUUGCUAAGACCGAUGUGAAAUCCCGGGCUCAACCUGGGAACUGCAUUGGUGACUGGCAGGCUAGAGUAUGGCAGAGGGGGGUAAAUUCCACGUGUAGCAGUGAAAUGCGUAGAGAUGUGGAGGAAUACCGAUGGCGAAGGAGCCCCCUGGGGCCAAUACUGACGCUCAUGCACGAAAGCGUGGGGAGCAAG